rnacentral:rRNA from 1 species
GGGUUAGUGGGACCUAAGGUGAGGCCGAGAGGCGUAGGUGAUGGACAACAGGUUGAUAGUCCUGUACUACCGAGAACCGUUUGAGAGGUGGAAUGACACAGUAGAAUAAGCUAAGCACACUGUUAACUAUGUGUGCCCAAGCAUUGAGGCAGUCAGAGUAGGUAAAUCCGCUCUGAUAAUGCUGGGAUGUGAUGGGGAGCGAAAUUGAGUAGCG